rnacentral:rRNA from 1 species
AGUUUGAUCCUGGCUCAGGAUGAACGCUGGCGGCGUGCUUAACACAUGCAAGUCGAACGGUGAACACGGAGCUUGCUCUGUGGGAUCAGUGGCGAACGGGUGAGUAACACGUGAGCAACCUGCCCCUGACUCUGGGAUAAGCGCUGGAAACGGCGUCUAAUACUGGAUAUGUGACGUGACCGCAUGGUCUGCGUCUGGAAAGAAUUUCGGUUGGGGAUGGGCUCGCGGCCUAUCAGCUUGUUGGUGAGGUAAUGGCUCACCAAGGCGUCGACGGGUAGCCGGCCUGAGAGGGUGACCGGCCACACUGGGACUGAGACACGGCCCAGACUCCUACGGGAGGCAGCAGUGGGGAAUAUUGCACAAUGGGCGCAAGCCUGAUGCAGCAACGCCGCGUGAGGGACGACGGCCUUCGGGUUGUAAACCUCUUUUAGCAGGGAAGAAGCGAAAGUGACGGUACCUGCAGAAAAAGCGCCGGCUAACUACGUGCCAGCAGCCGCGGUAAUACGUAGGGCGCAAGCGUUAUCCGGAAUUAUUGGGCGUAAAGAGCUCGUAGGCGGUUUGUCGCGUCUGCUGUGAAAUCCGGAGGCUCAACCUCCGGCCUGCAGUGGGUACGGGCAGACUAGAGUGCGGUAGGGGAGAUUGGAAUUCCUGGUGUAGCGGUGGAAUGCGCAGAUAUCAGGAGGAACACCGAUGGCGAAGGCAGAUCUCUGGGCCGUAACUGACGCUGAGGAGCGAAAGGGUGGGGAGCAAACAGGCUUAGAUACCCUGGUAGUCCACCCCGUAAACGUUGGGAACUAGUUGUGGGGUCCAUUCCACGGAUUCCGUGACGCAGCUAACGCAUUAAGUUCCCCGCCUGGGGAGUACGGCCGCAAGGCUAAAACUCAAAGGAAUUGACGGGGACCCGCACAAGCGGCGGAGCAUGCGGAUUAAUUCGAUGCAACGCGAAGAACCUUACCAAGGCUUGACAUAUACGAGAACGGGCCAGAAAUGGUCAACUCUUUGGACACUCGUAAACAGGUGGUGCAUGGCUGUCGUCAGCUCGUG